rnacentral:misc_RNA from 1 species
UCCGGUUCCUCACCGGCAGUCUUCUUAGAGUCCCCAACUUAACUUGCUGGCAACUAAGAACAAGGGUUGCGCUCGUUACGGGACUUAACCCAACAUCUCACAACACGAGCUGACGACAGCCAUGCAGCACCUGUCUCUGCGUUCCUUUCGGCACUCCAAUCUCUCAACCAGAUUCGCAGGAUGUCAAGGGUAGGUAAGGUUCUUCGCGUUGCAUCGAAUUAAACCACAUGCUCCACCGCUUGUGCGGGCCCCCGUCAAUUCCUUUGAGUUUCAACCUUGCGGCCGUACUUCCCAGGCGGAGAACUUAUCGCGUUAGCUUCGAUACCGAUUGGUUCCCCAACCAACAUCUAGUUCUCAUCGUUUACAGCGUGGACUAC